rnacentral:misc_RNA from 1 species
GGUUUUAGGUUCAACUAGUCCGUAUACAAUUGAGGGUGCCAGAGUAUGGUUGGACCACGCAGAAGGUCUUCCAUUUUCUCAAUUUCUUGGUGAACGGAGUGCGGGCACUUGUUUUUGUAUUUCGCCGCGAUGUGCAGAGUUUGGAACCGCCGAUUCUGCAACAUAUCUUGCUUGACAUGCCAAGCCUUGCCUUCUUCACAACUUAUGCUCUAUUGGUUUUGUUUUGGGCAGAGAUUUACUACCAG